UACAGAGGUCCCAAGCGUUGUUCGGAUUCAUUGGGCGUAAAGGGUGCGUAGGCGGCGCGGUAAGUCGGGUGUGAAAUCUCGGAGCUUAACUCCGAAACUGCAUUCGAUACUGCCGUGCUUGAGGACUGGAGAGGAGACUGGAAUUUACGGUGUAGCGGUGAAAUGCGUAGAUAUCGUAAGGAAGACCAGUGGCAAAGGCGGGUCUCUGGACAGUUCCUGACGCUGAGGCACGAAGGCCAGGGGAGCAAACGGG
rnacentral:rRNA from 1 species